AUGUCAUCGGCGAGCUACCGCUGCAGCCGCAGUCGAUGUCAUUGGUGGAUCUACAGCUCUGGAUCUUCAAGUUGUUCCGGCUCCAUCCAGAAACACAAGAUCUCUAUUAAGGGGUUUCUCAAACAACACAAAAGUGACUCCUACGACGACUCCUCUGAAGUGGACAGUUAUUUGGAGUACUGCCCAUGGGACAUACAUUACUUUAAGACUGACAAGUGUUGGAGUUCAUUUGCCAAUAAAUUGAAGAGAAAAAGAAAUGUGACGCAGAAGUUCAUGUUGUAUGUGCAAUCUUCUGAGAUAGAGCAUUAUGACAUUCUGCUCAAAGUUGUAAAUGAUGAUUAUUAUCAACUGGCGACGGUUGUGUUGCCUGGGACAAAAAGCCUGACAAGUGGCUUCUGCUUUGGUGCCCUCGUGGAAGACUUGACAAUGACAGCAAAGGAAAUUGGAGAUUAUCUCACUGGUCAGUUUGGUAAGCAGAUUAGUCCUGGUGAGGCGUGGAGAGCAAAACAGUUUGCUUUGGAGAGGAAAUUUGGUACAUUUUAUGAUUCACACAACUUUGCCCCGAGGUUACUUAAGGAUAUAGCACGUAAAAACCCUGGUAGUUUUGUUGACAUCAAGGAUGCAGAGGUUGCAGGGUGUAAAGAUUUCCGAGUCCUCCAGCGUAUGUUUUGGGCAUUUGGACAGUGCUUACAGGCCUUUCGUACCUGUCGCCCUGUGCUAUGCAUCAAGGCCACACCACUAUGCGGGAAAUAUCAAGGGAUGCUGUUGACUGCUGUAGCAUUAGAUGCUAAUGAUUUCUCCAUUCCAGUAGCAUGUGCUGUCGUCGAGGGCGAGACCAAGGAAAGCUGGUUGUGGUUUCUUAGGAAUUUGGAGCGAGCAGUGGUGCAUCAAUCUGAUGUGUGCAUUAUACACGACUACAAAAAGGAGUUGAUUGAUGCUGUGGAGGACUUUCUGAAUUCCUGUGAGCGACAAUGGUGUAGAGCAGAAAGCCGGUGGUGCAUGGAAGACCUUGCUGAAAACUUCUUUUCGUAUUUUGGCGACAAGAAGCUUGUGAUGAUGUUCAAGAAACUUUGCCAGCAAAAGCGACGCCAUAAAUUUGGUAAAAUCUGGAAGGAGCUUGAUGAGUUGACGUCCACAUAUAUGGCGGAGAAAGAACAUGGUGCUAGUGGGGAAAUGCAGCAGGAAUCAGUCGAGCAUGAAAUGGCGGAACUUGAGGUGCAAAGCCCAUGCAACCAACAUGAUUCAGUGGGGUAUGUGAAGGAAGGAGACAGAAAGAUAACAAAGUUCUCUAACUGGAUCAGUAUGAAACCAAAGGAGAAGUGGUCACUGGCAUAUGAUCAAAAUGGAGCAAGGUAUGGCAUCAUGGGCAGUGAUAUAGCUGAUGUAUAUAAGAACGACCAUGUAUUGAAAGGGAUAACAUGCCUUCCGCUCAGUGCGAUAGUGGAGGUGACAUUCCUGCGCUUGGUAGAGUACUUCAAAAACACAAGUGUUGCAGCAAACAAAGCAAUCGGCAACCCAUCAACUAACUUCCCUGAACGUGUUCAGGUUGACAUGACCUCCGAGAUGCAGAAAUCCGAGACGCACAAACUUAUGUAUAGGUACACCAAUGAAAAAGGUUAUCUCGGUAAUGUAGUGGAUCAAAAAUUUACAGUUAAGGGAAGGAAGAGGGAGGUGACUGUUCACCUGAAGACGGACUAUAACCUCAGUAUGAAUAAGUUGGAAGGAUCCACAAUCGUAAAACUUGCCACCUGUUCAUGCAGCAAGCCGCAGGUACUUCACAAGCCUUGCUCUCAUGUCAUUGCCGUCUGUUGUGAGAUUGGGGUUAGCACUGCUACAUACAUGUCUCCAUACUACAGCCUGCCCUGUCUAGUUCGCGCGUCGAGGCAAAAAUUCAAUAAGUUCUUACAUGACUACAGAGAUAGGGUACCACGCUACUUCAGAGAUACUGUACUAUUUGGAGGCCAAGCACCAAUUUGGAUCCCAGACAAAAGACUGGAGUGUGGCCUUCCUGUUUGUCUACUACCGGACUGCAUGCAAACUGCCGUGAUCGAGGAAGAGCAAUAG
rnacentral:rRNA from 1 species